rnacentral:tmRNA from 2 species
GGGGCUGUAAGGUUUCUACAUAUAAUAUAUUAUAUUUAUUUCAUAAAUAUAAACUUAAUUAGUAUUAAUAAUAAAUGCUAAAAGUAAUAUAUUAACUUUAUCUAGACAAUUAAUUUGUGUAUAAGUUAUUUAAAAUAAUAAAUUAAACAAUCACAUGUUUUUGGCUAGAAUUCAAAUAAUUUGAAUCAACCUAUAAACUUAUUUGAUACAUUGAAAUAGGUUGCUCUUAACUCAACAAUAAUCAAUUUGAUUAAUUAGGAUUGAAGUUUAAGAUAAGUAUUAAACUUAUAUAACGUCAAAUCAUAUUUUUUUAUUACAUUAGUUUUAAUGUAAUAGAAUAAUAUAUAAUAUAUUAUUAUGGACGUGGGUUCAAUUCCCACCAGUUCCA